UACGUGAGGGGCGAACGUUGUUCGGUGUCACUGGGCUUAAAGGGUGCGUAGGUGGUUGCGUAAGUAACGUGUGAAAGCCCUCGGCUUACCCGGGGAAUUGCGCGUUAUACUGCGUGACUUGAGGAUUUCAGGGGAAUGGGGAACUCCAGGUGUAGCGGUGAAAUGCGCAGAUAUCUGGGGGAAGGCCGGCGGCGAAGGCGCCAUUCUGGGAAAUUCCUGACACUGAGGCACGAAAGCGUGGGGAGCAAACAGG
rnacentral:rRNA from 1 species